GUGAACGCCCUCACGGGCUUAUACUAUUCCAAACCUCUGUGAACCGUGCCCUUCGGGGCUAUUUUACAAACAUGAUGUAAUGAACGUCAUAUAUCAUAACAAAACA
rnacentral:misc_RNA from 1 species